GGGUUGUGAGGUUAAGCGACUAAGCGUACACGGUGGAUGCCCUGGCAGUCAGAGGCGAUGAAGGACGUGCUAAUCUGCGAUAAGCGUCGGUAAGGUGAUAUGAACCGUUAUAACCGGCGAUUUCCGAAUGGGGAAACCCAGUGUGUUUCGACACACUAUCAUUAACUGAAUCCAUAGGUUAAUGAGGCGAACCGGGGGAACUGAAACAUCUAAGUACCCCGAGGAAAAGAAAUCAACCGAGAUUCCCCCAGUAGCGGCGAGCGAACGAGGAGCAGCCCAGAGCCUGAAUCAGU
rnacentral:rRNA from 1 species